rnacentral:lncRNA from 1 species
UUCGAUUUGAUGCUUGGAUUAGAUGUCCACUCAUGCUAAUUUUGGAUAUUUAAAUUGCUAAUAUCAUGCUAUUUAUUCUCACACUCUUUUUUCCUUUCCUCAUUUGAUGGCCACAGCCAAUUUCGUUGAGGUUUCUUAUCAUUUGUUUGACUAACCUGAUGAAGUGGCCAAUUUCGUUGAGGUUUCUUAUCAUUUGUUUGACUAACCUGAUGAAAAUUAUUAGUUAAUGUUGGUUUUAUGUUUAGAUACCAUCUGAGCAAGAGUGACUAUGCUUUGGAUUAGGUUUAGUGAUGGUGUGGUAUCAACGAUUGGUAGGGUAGAAAGAGGCAUAUUGAUGGACUACCAGCUAUUAUAAAAACUCGAUCCACAUUAAAUAUGAAGGUAAAGCAUAUAAGAUCCUUCUUGUACUUUCUGAAUGAAGUGGAGUAGUUCCUUUACGACUUGCUAUUAGGAUCUUGAUAGCCAUGAGUCUCUUCAAUUGUCUAGUCAUUAGUAUCUAAAGAAUUUGGCAAGGAAGCUUGAGUUGAGAAAUAAGGGUACUCUGGCAUUUUUAGAAGCCCCAUUUUGGCAGUGGUAGAGUUUUGUUUUUCCCCGUGAAGUAUCUGUUUUAUAUGUUUCAAUUGUUUAGGUUGAAUUAGUUGUUGUUUGUUAUUACAUGAGAUAACUUUAGGCCUCAAUUUUUUUCGGUAUGUGAUUUUUUGUUAAACAUUUUAAGGGAAAAUAAGAGUCCUUGAUGUUCUAAUUUUGACUAGGAUGACGAAACUCUUCUUCUUGCACAAAGAAGAAAUUGAAAUCUUUGUCAUCACUUGUUUUGAUUGGUUCUUUUUUGUGUUUGUUUAUCUUAUUUCUGAUAUCUAGCAUUAAGUGCUGGAAAUUAUUAAUAUGUACAUGAUCUUAUUGUUUUUGCUGGUUAUUCUCCCCUAUUUGUGAAUGGGGAACUUUACGAUGAACGUUUUUGUAGGAGUUUGUGGCUCCUAUCUGGUGCCUCAUUCAUUGAAGGAAGAGAAGUAGCCUCCCAAGAGAAAACAAAAAGAAAAAAAAGAAAAAAAAGGUUUUAUUGCUUGUAAAAUAUUGGAUAAAUUGAGAGGAUGACAAUAUCCUAUUAAAAGAAUUCCUAGAUGACUUAUUUGUGGGCCUAUCAUUGCUUGAUCCCAAGUCAUUGUUUGGAUUUGGCAAAUGAUGUCACUGAUUGGAUGCUAAAUCAUUAGUGAUCAAUGAGUUCAAUAACUCCUCAGUUGUGAACAAAGCAUUGAAUGUGAUUAUUGUGGUGGCUUGUAAUUCCAAUCUAUAUCCAUCCUAAUCUGUAUGUUGUUUACUUAUAUAUAUCUUGAUAUCAUUUAUAAAAUUUUCUGCUUCAAUUGAUUGACCAAAUAAUUAGUGUAUUCAACUUGCUUUGUUGGAUCACUGCUGGUGACAGUUGGAUGACUAUGCAUUCUCCUUACAUGGAGAGAGGCUGAAGUUCAAGCACCCUAACUUUGCUUGAUAUGCAAACCAUAUUAUGAGUUACUUGAUUAAUUAUAAUCUGAGCCAAUGAUUUGUUGUAAUUUUUUGCUUUAUUGGAUAUACUGUUAUAUUUGUGAUUGUGAUGUCAUCCAACAAUCUAUUGGGAG